GGUGUUGCAUGGCUGUCGUCAGCUCGUGUCGUGAGAUGUUGGGUUAAGUCCCGCAACGAGCGCAACCCUCAUCCUUAGUUACCAUCAGGUAAUGCUGGGGACUUUAAGGAAACUGCCAGUGAUAAACUGGAGGAAGGUGGGGGUGAUGUCAAGUCAUCAUGGCCCUUAUGGAGUGGGCUACACACGUGCUACAAUGGUGGCUACAAUGGGCUGCAAAGUCGCGAGGCUAAGCUAAUCCCUUAAAAGCCAUCUCAGUUCGGAUUGUACUCUGCAACUCGAGUGCAUGAAGUUGGAAUCGCUAGUAAUCGUGGAUCAGCACGCCACGGUGAAUACGUUCCCGGGUCUUGUACACAC
rnacentral:rRNA from 1 species